rnacentral:rRNA from 1 species
UACGGGGGGGGCAAGCGUUGUUCGGAAUUACUGGGCGUAAAGGGCUCGUAGGUGGCCAACUAGGUCAGACGUGAAAUCCCUCGGCUUAACCGGGGAACUGCGUCUGAUACUGGAUGGCUUGGAUUCGGGAGAGGAAUGCGGAAUUCCAGGUGUAGCGGUGAAAUGCGUAGAUAUCUGGAGGAACACCGGUGGCGAAGGCGGCAUUCUGGACCGAUAUUGACGCUGAGGAGCGAAAGCCAGGGGAGCAAACGGG